rnacentral:rRNA from 1 species
UGGAAGCAGCCAUCCUUGAAAGAGUGCGUAAUAGCUCACUGGUCAAGUGAUUCCGCGCCGACAAUGUAGCGGGGCUCAAGCACACCGCCGAAGCCGUGGCAUUCAUGCAACAACCCGUCGCCGGCCUUCGAGCCGGCGGCCAGGUGUGUGGAUGGGUAGGGGAGCGUCGUGUGGCGGUGGAAGCGGCGGAGUGAUCCAGCCGUGGACGCCACGCGAGUGAGAAUGCAGGCAUGAGUAGCGAAUGACGGGUGA